UCAGGUUUUUUUUUAAAAUGGCAAGUUAGAGAGAAGAAAGCUGCUUUUGGUGAAGUGAAUACACUUCGCACAAAAUAAACCUCACCUCUUCCUUUCAAUGGCCAGAGCAUGAAUUCACUGAAAUAGGGUAAAUCUUGUUUCCUUAAUAUGUGAGUGACCUCUCUUCCAACAGUGCGGUCACUGUGAUCGUUCAGAACUACUGACGGGCAGGUAACACGCUUGGGUGUUUUGUACUUACAUCAUUGUUUACUCUUAAAGAGUUGGAGUUACAUUAAAGACUAACUAAAAUCCAAAAAAAACCCCUAUAAAGAACAAUAACAACAUUGAUUUCGUGGGAGAUGGGUUAUCUCUGAGGGGGAGCAAAGCCCCAGCAGAUGAGAACAAGGCCGGUGCUGAGCCCCGGGAAAGGACAGGGAGGACUGCUGCCAUUUACUGAGUCCUGUUGUAAUGAUGUGAACUUUUCCACAUUUAGUCCCCACGGCAAUACCACACAUCCACCCAUCCCUUUACAAACACUUACUGAAUGCUCGUGACAUCAAAUGACGUGCUAAGUAAGAGGUAGAGACUGUCAUCUCCAUUUGGCAGAGGCCAGGACUUUGCCUAUCAUCCCAUUACUGUUUGAUGGCAGAGAUGGGAUGGGAAACCUGACUUGCCUGUUGUUGAAUUGAUUUCCUUGUGCAUAUCCUUCCCAUUGUGCUACCUCAAGUGUAGGCAAACAAAACACUGACUAUUUGGAGUCAGUCAUGCACUUUUCAUUUAGAAUUUUAUUAAGAAACUUGGCAUAAGUGCUGUAGAUGAGAAAAAAGUGGUGAAAUGGUAUCCACUAAGCCUGUAGUGUCUUCCUGCUCCGCCCCCACCACUGCCCUGCUGGAAUCAGUCUUGGUGUAUUACGGGACCCCGUGUUUCAGUAUAGUCUGCCUUGCAUCCGACUUGGUAUCCCUGUAUCAGUCUGUCAUCUUCCCCCACACAUUGUGAUCCUCCAGAGUGUCUGCAUGCAGUAUUUUAAGUAAAGUGAUUUUUGAAUUUUAAAUUGAAUGUUGUUAUUCCUCUUAGUAGGUAUGAAUCUGGUAGUGUUUUGAAAUACUUGAUUAUCAUACUGCUGAGAAAAAUAACACAUGGUUGUAAUAAUAGGGAUACUUAAAAAUAAGAUGGAUUU